rnacentral:rRNA from 1 species
UCUUCUAGCUUGCUAGAAGUGGAUUAGUGGCGCACGGGUGAGUAAUGCAUAGGUUAUGUGCCCUUUAGUCUGGGAUAGCCACUGGAAACGGUGAUUAAUACUGGAUACUCCCUACGGGGGAAAGUUUUUCGCUAAAGGAUCAGCCUAUGUCCUAUCAGCUUGUUGGUGAGGUAAUGGCUCACCAAGGCUAUGACGGGUAUCCGGCCUGAGAGGGUGAUCGGACACACUGGAACUGAGACACGGUCCAGACUCCUACGGGAGGCAGCAGUAGGGAAUAUUGCUCAACGGGGGAAACCCUGAAGCAGCAACGCCGCGUGGAGGAUGAAGGUUUUAGGAUUGUAAACUCCUUUUGUUAGAGAAGAUUAUGACGGUAUCUAACGAAUAAGCACCGGCUAACUCCGUGCCAGCAGCCGCGGUAAUACGGAGGGUGCAAGCGUUACUCGGAAUCACUGGGCGUAAAGAGUGCGUAGGCGGGGUAAUAAGUCAGAUGUGAAAUCCUGUAGCUUAACUACAGAACUGCAUUUGAAACUGUUACUCUGGAGUGUGGGAGAGGUAGGUGGAAUUCUUGGUGUAGGGGUAAAAUCCGUAGAGAUCAAGAGGAAUACUCAUUGCGAAGGCGACCUGCUGGAACAUUACUGACGCUGAUGCACGAAAGCGUGGGGAGCAAACAGGAUUAGAUACCCUGGUAGUCCACGCCCUAAACGAUGGAUGCUAGUUGUUGCCUUGCUUGUCAGGGCAGUAAUGCAGCUAACGCAUUAAGCAUCCCGCCUGGGGAGUACGGUCGCAAGAUUAAAACUCAAAGGAAUAGACGGGGACCCGCACAAGCGGUGGAGCAUGUGGUUUAAUUCGAAGAUACGCGAAGAACCUUACCUAGGC